CGGCGGCCUACCAUGCAAGUCGACGGUAGCACAGAGAGCUUGCUCUCGGGUGACGAGUGGCGGACGGGUGAGUAAUGUCUGGGAAACUGCCUGAUGGAGGGGGAUAACUACUGGAAACGGUAGCUAAUACCGCAUAACGUCGCAAGACCAAAGAGGGGGACCUUCGGGCCUCUUGCCAUCAGAUGUGCCCAGAUGGGAUUAGCUAGUAGGUGGGGUAACGGCUCACCUAGGCGACGAUCCCUAGCUGGUCUGAGAGGAUGACCAGCCACACUGGAACUGAGACACGGUCCAGACUCCUACGGGAGGCAGCAGUGGGGAAUAUUGCACAAUGGGCGCAAGCCUGAUGCAGCCAUGCCGCGUGUAUGAAGAAGGCCUUCGGGUUGUAAAGUACUUUCAGCGGGGAGGAAGGGAGUAAGGUUAAUAACCUUGCUCAUUGACGUUACCCGCAGAAGAAGCACCGGCUAACUCCGUGCCAGCAGCCGCGGUAAUACGGAGGGUGCAAGCGUUAAUCGGAAUUACUGGGCGUAAAGCGCACGCAGGCGGUCUGUCAAGUCGGAUGUGAAAUCCCCGGGCUCAACCUGGGAACUGCAUCCGAAACUGGCAGGCUUGAGUCUCGUAGAGGGAGGUAGAAUUCCAGGUGUAGCGGUGAAAUGCGUAGAGAUCUGGAGGAAUACCGGUGGCGAAGGCGGCCUCCUGGACGAAGACUGACGCUCAGGUGCGAAAGCGUGGGGGAGCAAACAGGAUUAGAUACCCUGGUAGUCCACGCCGUAAACGAUGUCUAUUUGGAGGUUGUGCCCUUGAGGCGUGGCUUCCGGAGCUAACGCGUUAAAUAGACCGCCUGGGGAGUACGGCCGCAAGGGUUAAAACUCAAAUGAAUUGACGGGGGCCCGCACAAGCGGUGGAGCAUGUGGUUUAAUUCGAUGCAACGCGAGAACCUUACCUGGUCCU
rnacentral:rRNA from 1 species